GACGAACGCUGGCGGCGUGCUUAACACAUGCAAGUCGAGCGGAAAGGCCCUUCGGGGUACUCGAGCGGCGAACGGGUGAGUAACACGUGAGUAAUCUGCCCUUGGCUUUGGGAUAACUACCGGAAACGGUGGCUAAUACCGGAUACGACAACCGUCUGCAUGGGCUGGUUGUGGAAAGUUUUUUCGGCCAGGGAUGUGCUCGCGGCCUAUCAGCUUGUUGGUGGGGUAAUGGCCUACCAAGGCUUCGACGGGUAGCCGGCCUGAGAGGGUGACCGGCCACACUGGGACUGAGACACGGCCCAGACUCCUACGGGAGGCAGCAGUGGGGAAUAUUGGACAAUGGGCGGAAGCCUGAUCCAGCAACGCCGCGUGAGGGAUGACGGCCUUCGGGUUGUAAACCUCUUUCAGUACCGACGAAGCGCCGAUGAUGGUGGUGACGGUAGGUACAGAAGAAGCACCGGCCAACUACGU
rnacentral:rRNA from 1 species